GGUGGCGCUCUCAUACAAAAACCUCCAUAGCGAUCCAGCAGAUAGCGUCACACCAACAGGAAACCAGUGGAACCAUGUGACACGCUCUCAAACUGCUGAAAGAUGUCUGUGAAUGUGGAAGAUUUGUUGAGUUCCCUUUUGUAUGUCGAAGUAAACGUUAAAGAGAUAGGGGUUUGAGAAUAAGGAUUUUUUAAAACUCCUCUGGCUCCUUCACAAAAAGCUGGUGGCCCACAGUAUCAAACAAACACUGACAUAGAAACCACAAACACAGCUGCUCCCCUAAUGCUAAUGAGACUCUUUUGUCUGUGAAACACGGCAGAGACUAUGAUGUCAUUUCCUCCUCAUAGAUCUCAAAGUGUUGGCUCUUUAUGUUUUCAUUCAUCUCCCCGUCCUACAUCAAAAUGAUUCCAGGCUUCCACACAUUGACUUUCUUUGUGCUUUGGGCUGCAGGCGUUUCUCAGUCUGUGCUGAUCACCCAGUGGCCCCAGUACGUCUCCAGUCUUCCCAGUGGCAUGGCAGAAAUGCACUGCUACCAGAACAACACCAAUUAUGAAUAUCUGUACUGGUACCGACAGCUGAGUGGAGGAGGUUUCCAGUGUAUGGUGUAUAUAAUAGCGGGUACUGCAAACUACGAAGAGGGAUUCAAAACUGGUUUUGAGGCAGUGAAGUCGAAGGAGAAGCACUGGUCUCUGAAGAUAACCAGCGCUCAGAAGAACGACGAGGCUGUUUACCUGUGUGCUGUCAGUCUACACGGUGGAGCCUAUUUCGGCCAGGGAACGAAACUGACGGUUCUCGAACCUGGACUUGAGGUCACCGGACCAACAGUCAAAGUGCUUCGACCUUCACCAAAGGAGUGUCAAAACCAGGGCGAUCAGAAGAAGACCAUCGUCUGUGUGGCCAGUGGAUUCUACCCAGACCAUGUGGGUGUACUCUGGAAGGUCGACGGGGUGGAGGUCACCACCGGGGUGGCGACCGACACCGCUGCUCUCCGGGUUGACAAGUCUUACAGGAUCACCAGCAGGCUGAGGGUCUCUGCCAAAGACUGGUUCACGGACCACAAAGAGUUCACCUGCAGCGUCAGCUUCUUCAACGGGACGCAUACGGAGAUCUAUUCACGAUCCAUUCUGGGGGAGAAAGGGGUCCUGUCCAGAGAGAAAUAUCUGAGGAUCACACAGACGGCCAAAGUCUCCUACAGGGUUUUCAUCAUCAAGAGCAGCGUCUACGGAGUCUUUGUGGCGUUUCUGGUGUGGAAGCUUCAGAGUUCAGCCGGGAAGCAGAGCGACUGAGAGCUGAGGCCUGAACACACCAUCUUUGUCUUUCUGUCAAUAUAAUUAAUAGUUAUACUUCCACGGCUUUGCGUGUCACAGCAUAUUUGCGUUCAUAUGUAAAUGAGCCAAUCAAAUUCUUCUAACAACAGAGGAACACAUUCCUAUUGCGAUGUUAACGCCGUCCCUGUCAUGUGCGUAUUAUAAAGAUAUUAGCUGUGAAUUCUCUCACAAACACGUCUCCUGUACGUUUGUGCUUGUGAAUUAUUUGAUGCUUGAUUUUCUUCUCAAUAAAAAAAAGUAUGUCAAAUGA